CUUCGACAUUUAUCCACGGAAGAUUUAAUCACGGAGUUAUUUAAUUUUGGGAUAGAGGUCACUGAAGAGGAGAGAAGUAAAUUCAAAGAUAAUGAAGUUGACGGAGAAGCAGUGGACUAUGGAUUGACUGAGAGGAUUAUUUCAUGCCUCUUUGAAGGAUCGUUUAAGAAGCAAGCCAAAUUCAACCGAUUUGUUCAGCAGUUCUAAACAUACACACAGAUUGGGCAUUAUGUGGAAAACUAUUAAUUCCUCUUUCUUUCUGUCAUCACUAUUACGCCUACUUGGUGAAAUAUGAACAGGACUGGACUGUCCUUGACCCUUUUGAGGUGAUGGAUUUUCAUGCUUUGGAUACAUACUGUGUCGAUGAUAAACUGUUUGUUAGUAUGCGGCAUUUAUGUUAAGCUGUGUUGGGAGGGUUGUAGAGCGUUGUGGAUGAGCUCAAAGCUUGUGUUUUUUAAUCCAGAACACAUCAAGUGUCAUGUAGUUUAUCCGUUAAGUGACUCUCUUUACUUUGGUGUGGUGUGCUAAAGUGUUUUGCUUGGUCUUUGAUAAUAAACAUGUUUUUCUGCACUAUAUUGCUGUUCUUAUUAGUGAUGUUCAUGAAAUUGAAAGAAGGAAAAUAUAAAUGGUUCCAUUGUAUUUAUUCCCUGCUAUGCAUCUAUUGUGGCAUUUUAUUUUGGGAUGUUACAUUGUAUGGUUGUGAGAUGAAUUAUUAUUGAAUCGGUGAAUUCAACUGUUUUCCAUUUAAG
ensembl:lncRNA